UACGUAGGGGGCGAGCGUUGUCCGGAUUUAUUGGGCGUAAAGGGCGUGUAGGCGGCCUGCUAAGUCGGAGGUGAAACCCCAGAGCUCAACUCUGGGCCUGCCUCCGAAACUGAUGGGCUUGAGUAUCCUAGAGGGUAGUGGAAUUCCCGGUGUAGCAGUGAAAUGCGUAGAGAUCGGGAGGAACACCAGUGGCGAAGGCGACUGCCUGGGGGAAAACUGACGCUGAGGCGCGAAAGCUGGGGGAGCGAACAGG
rnacentral:rRNA from 1 species